rnacentral:lncRNA from 1 species
GAAAACUGAAAUAAAAAUAAUAAAACUUCCUCACUUUAGGUUGUUUUUUUCAGGCAAGUAGAAGAAUACAAUGAAGAUUUUUUUGUUUGCUGGCUGAAAAAUCUUAACUGGACACAAGAAGUGGGGGGAAGAUUUUGCUGCAGAGGGGUGACCCAGAGCAGCUCGACACAGCGAGGACUGCGGGAGGUCUGGUGCUCAUCCCUGCUCCCCACCUGCCUGCUCAGGUAGCUUCCCUGGCAUCAGCACUGAGGAUGGUUUGACCUCACAGUGAUUCAAUUCAGAGAUUUAAAACUGGCAGGAACCUGAAUCCCGCCCCUCUCCUCGGUGGAAUAGUUUCCUGCUAGAUUUGCUUCCUGAAUUCACCCAUUUUCUUGUCAGAUGAACGGCAGUGACCCUGUGUUAGGCUGUAUAAUAGUGUUUCUGUUUUGAGACUUGUCCCUCUCCAGGAUUGCUGUCAGCCAGCACGACAACCAGGGAGUUCUGCUGGAGAAGUAUUUUGAGGAACUCCAUAAUGAAAGAGGUUAUCACCCAGGAGUUAUACCCAGCUUGUUUUUCAGCCCUGCAAAGGGAAGAUACUGUGCUGUGAACAAAGCAGUGAUGGCUCUUGGGUCCUCCCUGGGCGCGAGGAGAGCAGUGGAGCUGUUUUGGAUGGCACAUGUACAGAGAAACACGGUGGGAUGAGGAGCUCAGUCCCUUCAGCUUCGCAGAAGAGCACAACAGAAGUUCAGGCAGCAUCUGAAAGACAAUGAACCUCAAAAUCUAGGCUUUUCUUUUCUGAUUUUUAUAUAAGGAAACUAUGUUUUGUUCAAAUAUAUGGAUUGCAAAUGGAAAACAGAAAGGGAAGGUACAUUCACAGGCCUCACCAACUUCCCUCAUUAAUGGUUCUCAGCAGAACAUGCUGAGCUUUGUGACUUUUUAU